rnacentral:lncRNA from 1 species
AUUCCUUCCCUGCUCCCAGCUCUUUCUCCUUUCUCUCUUGUCUGUUUCUUCUCCUUUUUCUCCUUCCCUAGGUAUUUUUUCUCUCAUAUGCAUAGACCUUUCUUUGAUGCCUGGAAAAUCAAAAGGAAGUUGAUGUUUUCCUAGAAAGAGGCUCUGAGCCAAGUCCUUUCUGUGCUUCCAUUUCUUCCCCUCUACAGGGAGAGCGCCUCAUCUCUUCCAUUUUCCAGGUAUUCCUGAGAUGAUUUAUUGGAGCUCAAAGCUUUGGGCAAAUGCGGGGUGGCUGAUCACCUGGCAGACAUCUUAGGAAACAGGAGCACCGGUCUGGGAAACUGCUGGCCUGGCCUAACACCUGGCGCUGUGGUGCAGGAGGGCAGCCACUGAGGAUUCUUGAGGAGAGAGAGACCAUAGAAUGAAUGAAAGAGUUGGAAAGACUUUAAAGCUCUGGGAGGCUGAAUCCUUUAUUUCGCUGGAAGAAAAACUGAAUGCCAAGAGGGCCUCACUUUCCCCAAAGCUAUACAGCCAUCAGGGGCAAUGCUGGGAUUCCCCCAUGGAUCUCUUGACUCCUAAUACAGUGCUCUUUCUGAUAUGCCAUCUGGCUCCAUAAUGAACAUUGUGUUCCAGGAAAAUCAGUCUGCGCUGAACAGGAUGGAAUUGGGGCAGGACGUCCAGUGAGGAGGACAUUGAGGCAGUAGAGCAGUUGAUUGCCGAAUGACCACCUACCCUGACUUAAAAGAUCAACCUCAGGGAGGAUUGGAGCUUUCUAGAGUCUCUUGGGACAGCAGAAGCACAGGCCGGGUUGGACUGAAUCUUUAAGUGGACAUGAGGGACAAAGUACCUCCUGUUGGUAAACAUCUCACCACCAACCCACUGUGGUGGCUAAAAUCCCACCUUUAGUCCCAGCAACAUAUGAGCAUGUCACCAGGAGGUCUUCACAGGCCUGUCUGCCACCUGAGUGUAGACAUCUUUUGGCCCUGGAGCCCAGAGAGGCUGAAUGUGGAGAGGG